rnacentral:rRNA from 1 species
UACGUAGGGGGCAAGCGUUGUCCGGAAUCAUUGGGCGUAAAGCGCGUGUAGGCGGCCCGAUAAGUCCGCUGUGAAAGUCCAGGGCUCAACCCUGGAAUGCCGGUGGAUACUGUCGGGCUAGAGUCCGGAAGAGGCGAGUGGAAUUCCUGGUGUAGCGGUGAAAUGCGCAGAUAUCAGGAGGAACACCAAUGGCGAAGGCGGCUCGCUGGGCCAUUCCUGACGCUGAGGCGCGAAAGCGUGGGGAGCAAACGGG